rnacentral:rRNA from 1 species
GACGAACGCUGGCGGCGGGCUUAACACAUGCAAGUCGAACGGAAAGGCCCUGCUUUUGUGGGGUGCUCGAGUGGCGAACGGGUGAGUAACACGUGAGUAACCUGCCCUUGACUUUGGGAUAACUUCAGGAAACUGGGGCUAAUACCGGAUAGGAGCUCCUGCUGCAUGGUGGGGGUUGGAAAGUUUCGGCGGUUGGGGAUGGACUCGCGGCUUAUCAGCUUGUUGGUGGGGUAGUGGCUUACCAAGGCUUUGACGGGUAGCCGGCCUGAGAGGGUGACCGGCCACAUUGGGACUGAGGUACGGCCCAGACUCCUACGGGAGGCAGCAGUGGGGAAUAUUGCACAAUGGGCGGAAGCCUGAUGCAGCAACGCCGCGUGCGGGAUGACGGCCUUCUGGUUGUAAACCGCUUUCGCCUGUGACGAAGCGUGAGUGACGGUAAUGGGUAAAGAAGCACCGGCUAACUACGUG